UCUCCGUUGGUGAACCAGCGGAGGGAUCAUUACAGGACUCGCAAGACUCCUUUCACCCUGUGAACUCACUAUAAACACGUUGCCUCGGCGGGUGCCGCGGCGGGGGUCUCCCCCGUCAAGGUCCGCCGGCGGCCUCUACCACUCUGUUAUUUUUUUGAAUUCUCGAGAAACGCAAACAAGUUAAAACUUUCAACAACGGAUCUCUUGGUUCUGGCAUCGAUGAAGAACGCAGC
rnacentral:misc_RNA from 1 species